AUUGAACGCUGGCGGCAGGCCUAACACAUGCAAGUCGAACGAGUGGCGGACGGGUGAGUAACGUCUGGGAAACUGCCUGAUGGAGGGGGAUAACUACUGGAAACGGUAGCUAAUACCGCAUACCAUCAGAUGUGCCCAGAUGGGAUUAGCUUGUUGGUGGGGUAACGGAUCACCAGGGCGACGAUCCCUAGCUGGUCUGAGAGGAUGACCAGCCACACGGGAACGGAGACACGGUCCAGACUCCUACGGGAGGCAGCAGUGGGGAAUAUGGGACAAUGGGCGAAAGCCUGAUCCAGCCAUGCCGCGUGGGUGAAGAAGGUCUUCGGAUUGUAAAGCACUUUAAGUUGGGAGGCGUUACCAACAGAAUAAGCACCGGAUAACUUCGUGCCAGCCGCCGCGGUAAUUC
rnacentral:rRNA from 1 species